rnacentral:rRNA from 1 species
CCCUUAGAUGUUCUGGGCGGCCCGCGCACUACACUGGCACUGGCAACAAGAUCCUAGAUCUGGUAUUUCGGGGUAUUCUACCAACUGGUGUCGUGACUGGGAUUAACCCCUGCAAUUAUUGGUUAUGAACGAGGAAUUCCUUGUAAUCACGGUUUGUCAACCCGUGUUGAAUGCGUCCCUGCCCUUUGUACACACCGCCCGUCGCUCCUACCGAUGAAUCGUCCGGUGAAGUUCAUGGAGUCGCGGCUGCUCCAGCUGUUUUCGAAGUGAAAUGGACCUCAUGAUUUAGAGGAAGGAGAANUCGUANCA